CUCAAGUCGCACGAGAAAUCCUGAGCAAUCGGGAGAGUAAAGUGGCGCACGGGUGAGUAACGCGUGGGUAAUCUGCCCUGGAGUUAGGAAUAACAUCUCGAAAGGGGUGCUAAUACCUGGUAAGAUCCCUAAGACCCCGGUCUUGGAGAUUAAAGAGGGCUGAGGCUUGCAAGCCAUUGCUCCGGGAUGAGCCCGCGUACCAUUAGCUAGUUGGCGGGGUAAUGGCCCACCAAGGCAAUGAUGGUUAGCUGGUCUGAGAGGAUGGCCAGCCACACUGGAACUGAGAAACGGUCCAGACUCCUACGGGAGGCAGCAGUGAGGAAUCUUGCGCAAUGGGGGAAACCCUGACGCAGCAACGCCGCGUGAGUGAUGAAGGCCUUCGGGUCGUAAAGCUCUGUCAGAUGGGAAGAAGGUUCCAGCGCUUAAUAAGCGCUGGAAUUGACG
rnacentral:rRNA from 1 species